CACAGCAGCCCCCUGAGAAGGGUGUUUUAUUUUUUUUUGUCCUAAUUUGUUAAUGGGGGAGGGGGGGAGAAACACAUAAAAACAGUAGCUGGAACACAUACCAGCGAAACCGGAAGUGACAUCAUAUCAUUGCGAUAUCGAUCACAAUUGAACUAGAGGGUUGGGAGGGUUCUGGUAGGCUAAUUAUAGUGGGGGGGAUGUCCCCAAAUGGAAAAAUAAGGCACCAAAAUGGACUUAUAAGCAGGGUAUAAGAGUAUGUAUGCAUCUGAGGAAGAUGCAAAUUUGAGCGUUGAAAUGCGUUGUGCUUUGUAUACUGAUGAAUGGCACGUCAGUAAUGUCAAUGUAAGAUUUUAUACUUUUUUUUUUAUAAUAAAUGUUAUGGUUUUACACUAACUGGUGCAUUCUAUAUCUGAGGAUUAAGCUCCAACCUGUCUGGAACCAUAAUAUACUGCAUUAAAAGCGAUAUUACCUGAGCCGGUUUUGAUAUAACAGGCUCAACAAAAUGUGAGUUGGACCAUACAGAGACUUGAAAGAGUUAUUUACCACUUUUACCCUUGUGUUGCCCUAUGAGAUUUUCCUUCUUUAUAUUGUGUAGGAAAACCUGUGUUAAUAAACUCCAUUAUUGGAGAAGAAGUGACACUGUAUUUAUAUUCAGGUAUAUCCACAAUCACCUUUUUACACAUUUUGGUGGUGUAAACCCUGGGAGUUAGAGUAUUAACACUGCUCUUUUAUACCUUGCGCUGAGCACUUUAUUUUGUAUUGUAUUGUUUUAAUAUCUGUGGGGUCCAGUGCGCGACAGGCUGGGGGAUCAUGCAGGCGAGCGGCAUGCUGAAG